UAGACUAACUUAUCUUCAGGGACGAUCACGAAAACAAUUUUUUUCACGUUGAUCAUUCCAGAAUUCCGCUUCCAACACGGCAGCUGUUUAUGUUUUCCUCACAUUUUGCCUUCCUUAAAAUCAACGUCCUUUCUGGCAAUGUGUUGAAUACAAAUUUUUAUUUCUUAGAAUUAUUAACAUACUAUAAUUUUGUUUAUAUAGUUCUUGCUUUGUUACAAAUAAAAAUGACAUAUUUAAGUUCGUGGGAAGAAUUUGAAAAAGGUGCUGAGAGGUUAUAUCUUCAAGACCCAAUGAAGGCUCGGUAUACAAUGAAAUAUUGCCAUAAUAAAGGUGUUCUAUGUCUAAAACUUACAGAUAACAGAACGUGUCUACAAUAUAAAACAGAGAUAGCACAAGAUUUAAAGAAGAUGGAAAAAUUUAUAGGAAACCUAAUGAGGCACAUGGCAUCUAAAGAUAGCUAAAUAAGGACUAGAUGAGAUUAGGGACACUUUUUUAAUCAAGGAAUAAAAGUGCUGCGCAUUUAAUUCAUUGUUUACGUUGUUCCAUUUCAUAAGAUUCAGUGAUUGAUGGGAUUAUAGAUUUAAUUUGAAUGAGAUAUUAUUGUAAAAGAGAAGCACGAAGCAAUGAAAAGAAGCACUUACGAUAUAAUGGGCUGAAGAACAGCAUCCAGAGUAGUAUCAACAGGAGGGUAGAUUUCUUGAUUUGGAGACAGUUCAUAGCGUACCUCUCCCCCUAAUUGCAUUUGCGGCUAUACCAAACAAAACUAUUUUACUAAUUUACUAUGCAGAAGAUUGUACGAUACAACACACUACAUUCUAGCAACAGUAUUUCAUUGAAUCGAUUUUUCUUAUCGCACUAUGAUUCAAAAAGAAGAAAAAUGAUGUAACAAAAUACUGUGGCUAGCAGAGAAAGAAAUAGCAAGCCUUAACCACAUGUAUGUGUAAAAAGCAUUCAGUGCAUCUAAAAGAUUUUCGUACAAUAAGUGCACAAUCUUAAUAAAGACAAUUUAUCUAUCAUUUAA